rnacentral:rRNA from 1 species
GCCAGACUCCUACGGGAGGCAGCAGUGGGGAAUAUUGCACAAUGGGGGAAACCCUGAUGCAGCAACGCCGCGUGAGUGAAGAAGUAUUUCGGUAUGUAAAGCUCUAUCAGCAGGGAAGAGAAUGACGGUACCUGACUAAGAAGCCCCGGCUAACUACGUGCCAGCAGCCGCGGUAAUACGUAGGGGGCAAGCGUUGUCCGGAUUUACUGGGUGUAAAGGGGGCGCAGACGGCGAUGCAAGCCAGGAGUGAAAGCCCGGGGCCCAACCCCGGGACUGCUCUUGGAACUGCGUGGCUGGAGUGCAGGAGGGGCAGGCGGAAUUCCUGGUGUAGCGGUGAAAUGCGUAGAUAUCAGGAGGAACACCGGUGGCGAAGGCGGCCUGCUGGACUGCAACUGACGUUGAGGCCCGAAAGCGUGGGGAGCAAACAGGAUUAGAUACCCCGGUACU